CGGUGGCUUUUGCCCGGUGCACUCUUCUGCUGUCAGGCCAGCAUCAGUUCGGGCGGUCGGAUAAAGGCUUCGGGAAUGUAGCUCCUCUCGGGGAGUGUUAUAGCCCGCUGCGAAAUGCGGCCAGCCUGGACUGAGGUCCGCGCUUCGGCUAGGAUGCUGGCGUAAUGGUUGUAAGCGGCCCGUCUUGAAACACGGACCAAGGAGUCUAACAUCUGUGCGAGUGUUUGGGUGUUAAACCCGUACGCGUAAUGAAAGUGAACGGAGGCGGGAACCCCCCGGGGUGCACCGUCGACCGAUCCUGAUGUCUUCGGAUGGAUUUGAGUAAGAGCAUAGCUGUUGGGACCCGAAAGAUGGUGAACUAUGCCUGAAUAGGGUGAAGCCAGAGGAAACUCUGGUGGAGGCUCGCAGCGGUUCUGACGUGCAAAUCGAUCGUCAAAUUUGGGCAUAGGGGCGAAAGACUAAUCGAACUAUCUAGUAGCUGGUUCCUGCCGAAGUUUCCCUCAGGAUAGCAGUAACGUUUUCAGUUUUAUGAGGUAAAGCGAAUGAUUAGAGGCCUGGGGGUUGAAACAACCUUCACCUAUUCUCAAACUUUAAAUAUGUAAGAAGUCCUUGUUGCUCAGUUGAACGUGGACAUUUGAAUGUAUCGUUACUAGUGGGCCAUUUUUGGUAAGCAGAACUGGCGAUGCGGGAUGAACCGAACGCGGAGUUAAGGUGCCGGAAUGCACGCUCAUCAGACACCACAAAAGGUGUUGGUUCAUCU
rnacentral:rRNA from 1 species